rnacentral:rRNA from 1 species
GACGAACGCUGGCGGCGUGCUUAACACAUGCAAGUCGAACGGAAAGGCCCUGCUUUUGUGGGGUGCUCGAGUGGCGAACGGGUGAGUAACACGUGAGUAACCUGCCCUUGACUUUGGGAUAACUUCAGGAAACUGGGGCUAAUACCGGAUAGGAGCUCCUGCUGCAUGGUGGGGGUUGGAAAGUUUCGGCGGUUGGGGAUGGACUCGCGGCUUAUCAGCUCGUUGGGGGGGUAGUGGCUUACAAAGGCUUUGACGGGUAGCCGGCCUGAGAGGGUGACCGGCCACCUUGGGACUGAGAUACGGCCCAGACUCCUACGGGAGGCAGCAGUGGGGAAUAUUGCACAAUGGGCGGAAGCCUGAUGCAGCAACGCCGCGUGCGGGAUGACGGCCUUCGGGUUGUAAACCGCUUUCGCCUGUGACGAAGCGUGAGUGACGGUAAUGGGUAAAGAAGCACCGGCUAACUACGUG